UACGUAGGGUGCGAGCGUUAAUCGGAAUUACUGGGCGUAGAGCGUGCGCAGGCGGUCUGUUAAGACAGAUGUGAAAUCCCCGGGCUUAACCUGGGAACUGCAUUUGUGACUGGCAGGCUAGAGUAUGGCAGAGGGGGGUAGAAUUCCACGUGUAGCAGUGAAAUGCGUAGAGAUGUGGAGGAAUACCGAUGGCGAAGGCAGCCCCCUGGGCCAAUACUGACGCUCAUGCACGAAAGCGUGGGGAGCAAACAGG
rnacentral:rRNA from 1 species